UAAGUUCCCCAGAAAGGGGGUUUCACACGUCCUCACCCUUUCUGUAGCACCAGAGGUGCCUUACACUGCUCUUUGAGCUAUUAUCUUGGGGAAUAAAAUAGAACUUUUCAUUAUGUUUCCCUGGCAUUCAAGGUCGGGUAGAAAGAUGAGAGUUUCAAUUAUUGAACUGCAUCAAGGUGCACAGGUACGUAAAUUUAAAACAUAUAUCAAAAUAGUUUUUGUGUCUUUUUCCAUAUAAUAAUUUCUAAUCUUUAUUUGUCGCUAUAGUCUAAAGGCUUAUGUCUGCUCCAGGUUCAUUUGUUGAAACACCAAAGGUGAUGGUAUUGGGAGGCGGGGCCUUUGAGAGGUGGUUGGUUACGAAUGGGAUUAGUAUCCUCAUAAAAGGGGCCUGAGAAAGCUCCCUCCCUCCUCCCCAUGUGUGGAUGCAGUGAGAAGUUGGCAGUCUGCAACCCAGAAAAGGCCCUCGCAGAACCGGCUCUGCUGGCACCAGGAUCCCGGACCUCCAUCCCCCAGAACUGUGAGAGGACAUCGCUGCUGUCUGUAAGCCGCCCAGCGUAAGGUGGUUUUGUUAUAGCCUGAACAGACUAAGACAUGUGUCAGGUACCCGGUUGUGAUCAGCACGUGGAAGUGCCUGAACUGAUGCUAUAUGAGUACAGUUAACACUAACAGACAGCAAAAAGGGAUGGAGUGGGCUCCCCUUGGUCUCUGGUAAUGGAGACUGCAGGUAACUCUCCCAGGGCCCGGGAGAGAAGCCCAGGAGCCUUGAUCCGAGUCCCACACAGGGUGAACCUCCCUGGCUUCUUGCUCCUCAUCAGCAGCAGGUAGAGGGGAGAGCUCGGAGACUUCUGCUGUUUUUGCGAGAUAGGAAGUGUGCGUGAAGGCGCUCUGUGAAGAGUGAGUGAGGCGCUGUCCCGCAUGAGCAUCAGAGCGGCAGAGGCGGCAAAGAGGAGUGUCGGCAAGCCACGUUGCUCUGCUUUGGUGCACACCUGAAACCACGCCUUCGAGCCUUUUCCUGAAAGGUGAAGAAUCUGUUUCAUUUCUUUGAAGGUUUCUCUUUGGAAGAACUUAAGUCAAAUGUCAUUUAAUGCUAUGUAAUUGUGCUUCUCAAAUGUUAACGUGCACACAGGUCCCUGGGGAUGGGUUAAAAUGCAGCUUCUGAUUCACUGAGUCUGGGGUGGGCCUGAGUCAAGCUCCCAGACGAUGCUCAUCUGCAGGUCUGGGGUCCACACUUUGGGUAGCAAAGCACAGAGUGAGUGGGAAACGCAUCCUGGGAAGAGGAGCUAUCUCUUAAAAGUCAGUGACUCCGCUGUCUUCCAUUCUCUCUCAAACUCUGCCUUUCCCAGUGGGCACCACAGUAGGGCUAAUGAACCAGAGUGGAAUAGGGCCAUCGACUUGUGACUUGGCACUAGGGUAUCUGUAACCGGUCAUCCAAGCAUCUCUCCUCUGAGACUGAAGUGCUGAGGGUCUUGGCCCCACUGGGUGCCUCCAAGGCAGGAUGGCCUGGAUCAUCCUGGCAUGGAUCAUUCCGUUGUCCCACUGAUGAGCCCACCCAGUGGAAGGGGUCUCUGCACAUCUACCCAGACACAGGACAAGGAGCCUCCGCGGUGAGUAACUAUAUUUUUCCUCAGCAUUUCCUAUGUCACCCAUGUGUCACAGAGGUCCAUGCAAGAGGUGCUUCCUGGAGUUUGGGGAGAAAUGACGAGCAGUCCUGCAAAGUCAAGAAUUUGCCCGAAGGUGCCUGAGGAGUGGUCAGUAAAUCAAACUGCCUUUUCUUGUUUCUGUGCUGCUUGGUGGCCAGCAUUCCCGUGCUCGGUGUAACAUUACAGAACCCUGGAGUUGGGAGAGGCCCCGGAUGGAACUGAGUCCUACUUCCUUGUCAGUGCAGAGAGCCCGGGAUGACCUUCCUGACAGGUAGUCGGGCAUUGCCCUCUCCUGGAGUUAUUCUUGUGGUGGGGAUUGGCGACGUUGCACAGGCUGUUCCUCCGCUAGAGACCUCAGCUCCAGCUGAUGAACAUUUCUAAGAGAAUGCUGAUUCCCAGGCAGAGCUCGUGCUGCAAGGGGGGCAGGCUCCACCUGCAGGUCCGGGAUGGACAACUCAGCCUCCGUCUGGCUGUCGAGUGGUUUGGGACUGCUGCGACGGCAUCGGAGGGAGUUGCGGGCUCGAGGAAGGGGUUUCCCAGCCUUACUGAGAGGUCUUCUAGAAGUGACUCACCCAGUGGACUUAAGUAAGUUCUCAGGUGAUCAGCCCAGGACUCCAAGAGGAGCCAGCCUGGGAGGGAAGCUGCUGAGGAUGGAUGAGCAGAGAAAUGGACGGAACCUGAGACUGACGGCACGGUGGCCUCCUGGCUCCUCCAGUCAUGGAGCAAACCCUGCCUUCGGACUUAACAGUCAUAGGAGCCGCUACAUUUCUUUAUUAAUUAAACUAGUUUAAUUCAGGAUUUCUGCCAUCCUACCUGGCACACACACAGUAUGCAGGAGAGAAAUAUUGUAGACAUAUUUCCAAGGAAUCAGUCAACCGUGAAGGAAUUUCUGAUGAUACAGCUGAUAUCUGGUAUGGCAGUCACCUUUCCAUGGCACCCUAAACUCUCAUCGCAAUGAAUCCUGACCUUCAGUAAUCUCUUCUGAAUUUUAUAAAUAAAUGCUAAGUAGGGAAAUAGAGUAAGUUUCUUUUCAGUCAAUCAACUGGGUUUAUUUAUUUAUACUGGUAUCUACGUCCACAUGUAAAAAAUCCAUUAUAUAAAUUUUGAAAUAAUCUGCUCCUUGAUAUAUAAAUUUAGUUGCCUUCAGUACAGAUUACCAGUUGUCCCAAGAUUAUGCAUUUUAUAAUUUAAAUCACACUUGAUAUUAUAGGGAAUAAAGAGUUCUCUAAAAUCACAAAAAAAUAUGUUUAUUUAACAUAACUCGAGAAGUUCAUGGAAACAGUCCAAAUUAUAAUUCAAAGUUGAAAAGG